rnacentral:rRNA from 1 species
AUUGAACGCUAGCGGGAUGCCUUACACAUGCAAGUCGAACGGAGCGGCGAACGGGUGAGUAAUGCAUCGGAAUGUGCCCAGUAGUGGGGGAUAACUUCGGGAAAGCGUAGCUAAUACCGCAUACUAUCGGAGCGGCCUAUGUCGGAUUAGCUAGUUGGGGGGGUAAAGGCGUACCAAGGCGACGAUCCGUAGCUGGUCGGAGAGGACGAUCAGCCAAACUGGAACUGAGACACGGUCCAGACUCCUACGGGAGGCAGCAGUGGGGAAUGUUGGACAAUGGGCGAAACCCUGAUCCAGCCAUGCCGAGUGUGCGAAGAAGGCCUUCGGGUUGUAAAGCAUUUUUAGGAGGGAAGCGGUACCUACAGAAUAAGCACCGGCUAACUACGUGCCAGCAGCCGCGGUAAUAC